AUGCCAUGGUGAGGGUAUUUUCUUAACAGCUCUUUGAACCUCUCUCAUGCAUCAGGAACUGCUUCAUCGUCCAAUUGUUUUAAAAAGACAGAUUUCGUUUUGAGACU